UACAACCACUUGAAUGGUUCAGUUCCAUCUACUCUUCAAAAGUUCCCUAUCUCCUCCUUUGAGGGGAAUGAUAUGCUAUGUGGACCACCACUCAACCGGUGUUCCUCACUUGUGCCCUCCCCUUCGCCUUCCCCCACUUCCUUACCACCUUCUCCAACCAACUCCCAGUCCCCCACUUCCUUACCACCUUCUCCAACCAACUCCCAGUCCCCCAUUUCCUUACCACUUUCUCCGACCAACUCUCAAAAACCAACAUACAGUUCAAAGAAGAAACUAAGUACUGGGUCUAUCAUUGCCAUUGCAAUUGGAGGAGCUGCGAUACCAUUCUUUUUAUUU
rnacentral:lncRNA from 1 species